GAUGAAGAACGUAGCGAAAUGCGAUAAGUAAUGUGAAUUGCAGAAUUCAGUGAAUCAUCGAAUCUUUGAACGCACAUUGCGCCCUCUGGUAUUCCGGGGGGCAUGCCUGUUCGAGCGUCAUUACAACCCUCAAGCUUUGCUUGGUAUUGGACAUUGCCAGUUUCUGGCAGGUCUUAAAAUCAGUGGCGGUGCCAUUUGGCUUCAAGCGUAGUAAUUCUUCUCGCUUUGGAGAUCCAGGUGGUUACUUGCCAAUAACCCCCAAUAUUUUCAGGUUGACCUCGGAUCAGGUAGGGAUACCCGCUGAACUUAAGCAUAUCAAUAAGCGGAGGA
rnacentral:misc_RNA from 1 species